rnacentral:rRNA from 1 species
UACGAAGGGGGCUAGCGUUGCUCGGAAUCACUGGGCGUAAAUGGCUCGUAGGCGGCGUUUUAAGUCGGGGGUGAAAGCCUGUGGCUCAACCACAGAAUGGCCUUCGAUACUGGGACGCUUGAGUAUGGUAGAGGUUGGUGGAACUGCGAGUGUAGAGGUGAAAUUCGUAGAUAUUCGCAAGAACACCGGUGGCGAAGGCGGCCAACUGGACCAUUACUGACGCUGAGGCGCGAAAGCGUGGGGAGCAAACAGG